rnacentral:rRNA from 1 species
UACGUAGGGUGCAAGCGUUAAUCGGAAUACUGGGCGUAAAGCGUACGCAGGCGGCUUUGCAAGACAGGUGUGAAAUCCCCGGGCCUAACCUGGGAACUGCAUUUGUGACUGCAUGGCUAGAGCUUGUCAGAGGGGGGUGGAAUUCCACGUGUAGCAGUGAAAUGCGUAGAUAUGGUGGAGGAACACCGAUGGCGAAGGCAGCCCCCUGGGAUGUGACUGA